AGGUAUGUUUCGUUCAGCGUUACACAAGAAGCUUUGAUGUAGAUUUCUACAACUCCGGCUGUAAUGAAGCUCAGCAUUGCAACUAUGAUGGCAGUAAUGGCGGAUGUCUACAUUGUUGUAAAGAUGACUUUUGUAACAGCGAAGGGUGUGGGGAUAACGGCUUCAAAGCUCUGGAUAAAAGGGGCCCUAUCUGCUUUGACUGUAUUCAUAUGGGUGAAAACGAGAUCUGUAACACAGUACAGCUAUGUCAUGCUGAUCAGGUAUUUCGGAAUAACAAUACAAUGCUUUCAGAAGUGUGGGCAAAGUGUCCAAUAUACAGGCAAACAUUUUGAAUGUUGGUAUAACGCCGGUUUGUCACUUAUAUGCAGUACAAAUAACAAAAGGACCAAAUAGUUCUCAAUAGCUGAUCAGUAGUUGAAGAGACUCGAGUUUAAGAACCUAAAAAUCUAAGCUGGAUAUUAUAAUAUCAAAACACGUUAGAAGAUCCUUAGGAAGCAUAGAAUGUUAACAGAUGAAUAAGCACCGAAUUUUGGUUAAAACUCCAACAUCACACCAAUAAAUUUUUUAUCCAGAUCUAGAUUGCUUAGAAGUAGAAAUAACUAUGACACAUGUAGGUGAUGGUUUCCGUCGCAAUUAGAUAUUGAUACAAUUUCAAAAAAUAUCAGACAUUUAAGCUAGUUGUGAGGAACUUUGCAGUAAGGUUCUUCUAGUUGGCAGCAAACCCUUUUAUUAGGCACAUACUACUUAUCUCAUGAGGUAGACACAGAAGCUCGAAAUGAUUUACACAAUCUCUUGCAAAAGUCCACAAACGCAACUUACAUGUUUGAAAAGCUUUGUAUCUGAAUCUACCCAAGAUUGAAUCGAAAUCUAUAAACGCAUCCUCCGGUUGCAAACAUUUAACCUAUUAAUAUAGAAAUCCUUGAGACCUUGAGUGAUGCAAGCCUUACGCAAAUGUUUGACCUACCUACUAGAUAAAAUUAGAUCCUAGAUAUAUUCCUCACGACAAACACUGGUCAAUCAGAUUACCGACUUGCCUGGUAUCCUCCAAAAUCAAAGCGUCGAAAUCUUAUGUACAAAGAAGCUAACUCUGAGGGGCUUAAGCAACCACUAGACAAUUUUAAAGGAGAAAACAUACUUCAAAUCCUGUCAGCUGAAGAUCUGUUGGAGGAUUAAGCAUCCACUACACAUAGCGUAAUUCAUUUUUAUUUUCCAGUAACGUAUUUGCUUUUGUUUUUCUGUUUAUCGAAAUUUAAAAUCAUUUCAUGAAUGCAAGUUGUUCUAUGCGAUAUAAAGUGUUUCAUUUUUUCCAGCUGCAACGGAUUUAAGUCUAAAUACUAACAAAGAUAAGGUACUCGCCAUUGUUUCGUUUCCAAGUAAUUUAAACAAUGAGGUAAUGAAUGUAACAUAUCUAGGUAAAGUUUUUGAGACAAUAUAUCAUUAAAUGCAUGGGCAAAAAUAAGUUACGACUUACUGAAUGCUGAAUAUUUUAAUGAUACUUCAUGUCUUACAAAAUUAAGUAAAUUGGUAAAAAGCACAAUUCAACAUUGCAGUGACUGAAAACAUAUGAUUAUCAUCUGAACCACUCUAUUUGGAACAAAUUAAUUUUUAAUAAUUUCAGUACAAUUAUGCUAAUCCAUAUCUAAUUAUGCAAAGCAACGGGUGCUUCACUUUGUCCUUUUUAUUAUUUUUAUUUUUUAUCAGUUCACAUAUUUCACAGUGUACUCAUAUUUCACAGUAUAUGUAAUAACAUAACAUUCGCUAGCAAAAUAUAUCAGAUUCUUUAUGUUACUCCGUUAAAUGGAAUUCCCAUAGUUUUUUUUAUGCGCAUCUUUCUGCGCAGCCGACACUUUCUGUGGGAAACUGAAGUGAAGUCAACAUUUGUUAAAACAUGUGACAGACAAUCUUAAAUAUGAGGAAUCUUGAAUGAAAUAACAUUUUUGAUAAAUUUUAUCAGUAAUCAAAUGUUGAUACUGGUUUAUGUUAUAUUGUAAUGACAAGUAUCAUGCCUGACAGGUAUCUUGCCAUUUUUGUGGUUGUGUUUUCACAUCGCAAUUUAGUACAAAGACAGUGUUGUUCAUAUAAUGUAAGACAAUUGACUUUGUACUGAUAAGACAACAUCACCUUUUAGAUUAUUUAGUGUUCAAUUAUAGUAAGAAUUAAGAGUUUUUAAUACUUUUUUUAACUUCUAGCAGACAUACAUUUAAUUAAUUUGGCCAGGUUCGCGCCAUUUUCCGUCCGAACAGGUGUUGUAUUCUAGCGGUCUGAACAAAACAUUUAGCCUGGUGACCCAUACAUUUUUAGCUAUUUUUAUGCUUACAAUACAAUUAUCUAUACACGAGAAAAAAAAACAGGAAAAAGUUCUAUGAAACAUUAUUUUCAAAAUUUAAAAAAAAUAUUCUUCACUAUGGGUAUUUUUCAUUGAAAAAAAGUUCACAAAAGUGAAUAUGAAACAAUAUAUUUUUUUUCAUUUGUACCCAUUAUUGUAAGGCUAUAGUAUUACAAAUAUUACUAUGAUAUCAAAUAAGUAUAUAAUAAAAUCUGUAAAAAGAAUAAACCUUAUUGUGCUGCUUUGAUGUAUAUUUUAGUUGGUAUUUAUAGAAAAGCAGAAAAUUAUGAAAAUGUUGAAACAUCGCCGGCAGUUUCAGCAACAGCGGGUGUGUUCAAAACAAUUUUUCACAAAAACAAGCCUAUAAGUACCGCACAGUAUUAUGGCGUUUUUAUUUUUAUCAACAUGUAAAAAAACAAUCAGUACUUAGCAAUCUCUUUUAAGGAAAGAUAUUGAAAGUAAUUUCAAUAGUUGGCUUGAUGGCGCAGUAGGUUGAGUGGAUAGACUUGUAAAUAUUUUGUAGUAAUAUUUUUGAUGGUUCGAACCUUGCAUCCGUCAUUUUUUUUUAUUUUGCAUUUUAUUUAUAUACUUUGUGUAACUUUGUUUUUCUCUGAUUUCUAAUUUAUUCACGAAAAUCUCAAAAACUUUAAAUCAUAUUAAAAAUGAAGCAUAUUUAAAAAUGAUAACGUGCUAUUAAUGACAUAUAUAAGUAAGUGAAUAAGUUAGUACUAGAUUAACACACUUUUGCUGUUAACGUUGAAUCGUAUUGAAAAAAAAAAAGAAAUUAAAUAAAAUUAUCAAAUAUUUUUACGGGUCCGGGAAUCGAACUCCCGACGAAAAAGUAUGAGACGGAUACUAAUACCGCUGGGCCAACGAAGAAUUACUAAUUGUAGCGUAAACGUUGUGUAUUGACUGAAAUUUAUGCUACUGUUAUGUUUGUUUACAUUUCAAAGCGCCUUAUUACUGUGCGAUACCUGUAGUGACCCAUUGUUUUUAUUUGUUCAUUGUUUUCGGCACAAAUUUUCCUAUCAUAGUAUGUGAAUUUGAAAAAAAUCUAUGAAAGGAAAAAAAUUAUAGGAAUUCCCUUUAACAUCCAUGUAUUGUGAUAAUACACAAUGCCACACAUUUAAAGCAAUUUUUCAUCAUCUGUGCAGUCGGUUAAUAUUCUCAACGGGAUAUACAAAUUCUCUCUGUUUACAAAAUGUAACUUUGCCAGCACGAUGUUAAUCAGCACAUUUAGUAGUCAGUUAGAAUAUCUGGUUGAAUUCGGCGAGAAAUGAUAGAAAUUUGUACUGUGUAAACAAACCAAAAAAUGCUGUUAUUGAAUCUGAAUUGUAAAUACUAUCACACAUUUUCUAACUAAAUGAUUUAGCUGUGUCAAGGCAUAUUGCCCACUGAAUGAUAAUUCCGCCUUAAAUAUGUAAAAAAACAUGUUUGAGUUACUUCUCUUGAUCCAAUUGACACUGUUCUUGAUGUCUCAUAUUAAAAUAUAGAGAACAUUGAAAAGAAACAUCGGUGGGAAAAAGGGAGAAAUUUAGAAGAUCAAAGUGGUCCGGUUGAGAAAAAAAAACACGCCUUAGAUUGAAAUACAAAAACAAUAUUUUACAUAUAAGGUGGCGGUUUCUUUGAGAAAAAUAUCAAGUGAAGUUUAAAACUUCAACUCAAUUUUAGAAUCUGUAUUUCUACAGAUUGGUACUGGCAAAAUGUCUUCACAUUUUUAUUAAAUCUGUCCAUUCUAAAUUAUUUUAGUUGAAUCUCUCAGUUUGAAUGAAAAUUGUUUUUUUAAAACAUUUAGUUCGGGAACACAAGCGUUCAACUUGCAAUGAUAAAUAUAACAUUUGAUUGCUUUAAUUACACUGUUUAAAACUAGUUGACUAAAUAUGCUACCUAACAAAACGUCGCUUUUGGUAAACACAACCGUAUUUUCUCGACAGUAUCUAUUUAUCCAUGACUGCUCAUUUAACCGAAGUAAAAGAUAUGUAUAAUGUCAUAACCUCAUAUUCACUUUUGAUAGGAAGUGUAUUAAAACACUUUCAGGCGUCCUUGAUGCUUGCAUCAAUGACUUUCCUUGUCUCUUUUAUUAUGAGAAAAACAAAGUUAUUGUAUGGUAUAAGAUAGGUAUCGAGAAAUAUUCAUUAUGACUGAAUGUAG